rnacentral:rRNA from 1 species
GAUGAACGCUGGCGGCGUGCCUAAUACAUGCAAGUAGAACGCUGAAGGAAGGAGCUUGCUCUUUCCGGAUGAGUUGCGAACGGGUGAGUAACGCGUAGGUAACCUGCCUGGUAGCGGGGGAUAACUAUUGGAAACGAUAGCUAAUACCGCAUAACAGUAGAUGUUGCAUGAUAUCUACUUAAAAGGUGCAAUUGCACCACUACCAGAUGGACCUGCGUUGUAUUAGCUAGUUGGUGAGGUAACGGCUCACCAAGGCGACGAUACAUAGCCGACCUGAGAGGGUGGACGGCCACACUGGGACUGAGACACGGCCCAGACUCCUACGGGGAGGAGCAGGAGGGGAACUUCGGACAUGGGCGGAAGGCUGACCGAGCAACGCCGGGGGGGGGAAGAAAGGUUUCGGGUCGGAAAGCUCUGUUGUUAGGGAAGGAAGAGUGGGAGAGUGGAAAGUUCACGCUGUGACGGUAUCUAACCAGAAAGCGACGGCUAACUACGUG